rnacentral:rRNA from 1 species
AACGAACGCUGGCGGCGCGCCUAAUACAUGCAAGUCGAGCGAGAAGACGUAGCAAUACGUUUGUAAAGCGGCGAACGGGUGAGGAAUACAUGGGUAACCUACCCUCGAGUGGGGAAUAACUAGCCGAAAGGUUAGCUAAUACCGCGUACGCUCCUCGGACUUCGGUUCAGGGAGGAAAGCGAUACCGUGGGUAUCGCGCUCUUGGAUGGGCUCAUGUCCUAUCAGCUUGUUGGGAGGUAACGGCUCACCAAGGCUUCGACGGGUAGCUGGUCUGAGAGGACGAUCAGCCACACUGGCACUGCGACACGGGCCAGACUCCUACGGGAGGCAGCAGUAAGGAAUAUUGCGCAAUGGGCGAAAGCCUGACGCAGCGACGCCGC